rnacentral:rRNA from 1 species
AGAGUUUGAUCCUGGCUCAGAUUGAACGCUGGCGGCAUGGUUAAAACAUGCAAGUCGAACGAGGUUUUUUUUCUUCGGAAGUAAACCUAGUGGCGAAAGGGCGAGUAAUGCAUUUCUGACGUACCCCGAGGUUCGGGAUAGCCCAGGGAAACCUGGUUUAAUACCGGAUGCGGUCAGCGGUUUUUGAAUCCGCUGAUCAAAGGAGCAAUUCGCCUUGGGAGCGGGAAAUGUCCUAUCAGGUUGUUGGUGGGGUAAUGGCCUACCAAGCCGAAGACGGGUAGCGGGUGUGAGAGCACGGCCCGCCGCAUCGGGACUGAGACACUGCCCGGACUCCUACGGGAGGCUGCAGUAACGAAUAUUCCGCAAUGCGCGAAAGCGUGACGGAGCAAUGCCGCGUGCAGGAUGAAGGCCUUCGGGUUGUAAACUGCUGUCAGGGUUUAGGAACACAAUGACCAUACCCAAAGGAAGAGACGGCUAACUCUGUGCCAGCAGCCGCGGUAAUACAGAGGUCUCAAGCGUUAUUCGGAAUCACUGGGCUUAAAGCGUGCGCAGGCUGACCGGUAAGUAUCUUGUGAAAUCCCUUGGCUCAACCAAGGAACUGCUCGAUAUACUGCUGGUCUUGAGCGUGGUAGAGGCGGUCGGAACGAUAGGUGGAGCGGUGAAAUGCGUAGAUAUCUAUCGGAACGCCAAAGGUGAAGACAGGCCGCUGGGCCACUGCUGACGCUCAGGCACGAAAGCAUGGGUAGCGAACGGGAUUAGAUACCCCGGUAGUCCAUGCCCUAAACGAUGUGUACUAGAUUCGGGUAGUUCUGAUGCUUUCCGAGUCGAAGCAAAAGUGUUAAGUACACCGCCUGGGGAGUACGGUCGCAAGGCUAAAACUCAAAGGAAUUGACGG